AUGCUGGGUUACAAGGAAGGAAAACUUCCCGGGUGGGACGGUACCUCUAUCUAUCUACGCAAUAUAGGAGUUCCAUUCCAAAACGUACAGCACGGCCUUCCACGCCACCCAAACACCUAUCGUCAGUCAACCUUCCCAUCAGCCAUUGCUCCACCAGCAGUCAGUUCUGCUCCUUUGAAUUCCGGGGCUACGGUUCAAUAA